rnacentral:rRNA from 1 species
AACGCUGGCGGCGUGCCUAAUACAUGCAAGUCGAACGGCUUUUCUAUGGAAGCUUGCUUCCACUGAGAAGAUAGUGGCGAACGGGUGAGUAACACGUGGGUAACCUGCCCAUAAGAGGGGGAUAACAUCCGGAAACGGGUGCUAAUACCGCAUAGUUUUCUUGAUCGCAUGAUUGGGAAAGGAAAGACGGCCUUUGUGCUGUCGCUUAUGGAUGGACCCGCGGCGUAUUAGUUAGUUGGUGAGGUAACGGCUCACCAAGACGAUGAUACGUAGCCGACCUGAGAGGGUGAUCGGCCACAUUGGGACUGAGACACGGCCCAAACUCCUACGGGAGGCAGCAGUAGGGAAUCUUCCGCAAUGGACGAAAGUCUGACGGAGCAACGCCGCGUGAGUGAAGAAGGUUUUUUCGGAUCGUAAAACUCUGUUGUCAGAGAAGAACAAGUUGGAGAGUAACUGCUCCAGCCUUGACGGUAUCUGACCAGAAAGCCACGGCUAACUACGUGCCAGCCGCAGC